GUAGGGAAUAUUGGACAAUGGGGGCAACCCUGAUCCAGCAAUGCCGCGUGAGUGAUGAAGGCCUUAGGGUUGUAAAGCUCUUUUACCCGGGAUGAUAAUGACAGUACCGGGAGAAUAAGCUCCGGCUAACUCCGUGCCAGCAGCCGCGGUAAUACGGAGGGAGCUAGCGUUGUUCGGAAUUACUGGGCGUAAAGCGCGCGUAGGCGGCUGUUUAAGUCAGAGGUGAAAGCCUGGAGCUCAACUCCAGAACUGCCUUUGAGACUGGACAGCUAGAAUCCUGGAGAGGUGAGUGGAAUUCCGAGUGUAGAGGUGAAAUUCGUAGAUAUUCGGAAGAACACCAGUGGCGAAGGCGGCUCACUGGACAGGUAUUGACGCUGAGGUGCGAAAGCGUGGGGAGCAAACAGGAUUAGAAACCCGAGUAGUCC
rnacentral:rRNA from 1 species